UACGAAGGGGGCUAGCGUUGCUCGGAAUUACUGGGCGUAAAGGGCGCGUAGGCGGCACUGUUAGUCAGGCGUGAAAGUCCUGGGCUCAACCUGGGAACUGCGCUUGAUACGGCAGAGCUAGAGGAUGGAAGAGGGUCGCGGAAUUCCCAGUGUAGAGGUGAAAUUCGUAGAUAUUGGGAAGAACACCGGUGGCGAAGGCGGCGACCUGGUCCAUUACUGACGCUGAGGCGCGACAGCGUGGGGAGCAAACAGG
rnacentral:rRNA from 2 species